UUGGAGCUUCCAUAGAAGAGGUAGGGGUGGAAAAACCCAUCUGAACCGGGCAGGUCGCCCUCAACGAACGAAGCGAUUCGAUAAGGAUAGAGUUUGAAUAUAGAGUUAACAUGGUUAUACCAUGAAUUUAAGAAGUAUAUUUGGAAAAUCGAUCUAUAUAAUGUAAUGAAGAAAUCUCGACCUUGAUUUAUUGCUUUUGUUUUUAAUGCUGCCUUUAGUCAUCUUAUCGUCAUGUUUUGAAUAAUAACGAUUUUUAUUGAAACGUACAUAGAAUGAAAGAAAUUUAAAACGAUCUGCUUUGAUCGAUAAUCCUUUUAAAUGUUAUAUCGAUACGUUAUAAAGAAAAUGAUAUAUAUGUAUAUAGAUAUGUGACGAAUAGCUUUUUUUUUUAAUAAUUAGAAGAACAAAAUGUAACAGUUAAACUGACGAGAAACAGAAUAAGAAACGAGAACAGAAUAAUGCACAAAUCACAAUGUAUAAAUACGAAAAUUGUAAUUGAAUUAUUGAUAUAAUCUGUCGUUUGAGUUUAGAUUGCAUUUAUUAAAUCCAGAUAUCUGUUCAGAGAAAAAUUUUUAACUUUCACGAGACACGUAAAGGAAUCAAUACGGGUUAAUAAAAUAACACUAAAAUAAGUAAUCGCACUUUGGAUUAUCUUAUAUCUCAUUAACGUCAAUUAUUAAAUCUGAUUAUACAGCUAA